GAACUAAAGCUAGCCCAAACAAUACCCAACUCAACUACCCUUAGUCACUUAACUAAAACAUUCACCAAACCAUUAAAGUAUAGGAGAUAGAAAUUUUAACUUGGCGCUAUAGAGAAAGUACCGUAAGGGAACGAUGAAAGAUGUAUUAAAAGUACUAAACAGCAAAGCUUACCCCUUUUACCUUUUGCAUAAUGAUUUAACUAGAAUAAACUUAGCAAAGAGAACUUAAGCUAAGCACCCCGAAACCAGACGAGCUACCUAUGAACAGUUAUAAAGAACCAACUCAUCUAUGUCGCAAAAUAGUGAGAAGAUUCGUAGGUAGAGGUGAAAAGCCCAACGAGCCUGGUGAUAGCUGGUUGUCCAGAAACAGAAUCCCAGUUCAAAUUUAAAUUUACCUAAAAACCACUUAAUUCUAAUGUAAACUUAAAUUAUAGUCUAAAAAGGUACAGCUUUUUAGAUACAGGAUACAACCUUUAUUAGAGAGUAAGAAUAAGAUUAAUCCCAUAGUUGGCUUAAAAGCAGCCAUCAAUUAAGAAAGCGUUCAAGCUCAACGUCACACAUAUCUUAAUCCCAAUAAUAGACUCAGACUAACUCCUAAUCUUAUACUGGACUAUUCUAUCGACACAUAGAAGCAAUAAUGUUAAUAUGAGUAACAAGAAUUAUUUCUCCUUGCAUAAGCCUAUAUCAGAACGAAUACUCACUGAUAGUUAACAACAGAAUAGACACAAUCCAAAAACUAACCAUCUAUUUAGACUAUUGUUAACCCAACACAGGUGUGCACCCAUAAGGAAAGAUUAAAAGAAGUAAAAGGAACUCGGCAAACACAAACCCCGCCUGUUUACCAAAAACAUCACCUCUAGCAUUCCCAGUAUUAGAGGCACUGCCUGCCCAGUGACAUCUGUUUAAACGGCCGCGGUAUCCUAACCGUGCAAAGGUAGCAUAAUCACUUGUUCUCUAAAUAGGGACUUGUAUGAAUGGCCACACGAGGGUUUUACUGUCUCUUACUUCCAAUCAGUGAAAUUGACCUUCCCGUGAAGAGGCGGGAAUAAUCAAAUAAGACGAGAAGACCCUAUGGAGCUUUAAUUAACUGAUUCACAAAAAACAACAUACAAACCUAACCCUCAGGGACAACAAAACUUUUGAUUGAAUCAGCAAUUUCGGUUGGGGUGACCUCGGAGAACAAAACAACCUCCGAGUGAUUUAAAUCUAGACUAACCAGUCAAAAUACAUAAUCACUUAUUGAUCCAAACCUUUGAUCAACGGAAUAAGUUACCCUAGGGAUAACAGCGCAAUCCUAUUCCAGAGUCCAUAUCGACAAUUAGGGUUUACGACCUCGAUGUUGGAUCAAGACAUCCUAAUGGUGCAACCGCUAUUAAGGGUUCGUUUGUUCAACGAUUAAAGUCUUACGUGAUCUGAGUUCAGACCGGAGCAAUCCAGGUCGGUUUCUAUCUAUUCUACACUUUUCCCAGUACGAAAGGACAAGAAAAGUAGGGCCCACUUUACAAGAAGCGCCCUCAAACUAAUAGAUGACAUAAUCUAAAUCUAACUAAUUUAUUAACCCCACCGCCCUAGAACAGGGCUC
rnacentral:rRNA from 1 species